rnacentral:rRNA from 1 species
CCUACGGGAGGCAGCAGUGAGGAAUAUUGGACAAUGGGCGCAAGCCUGAUCCAGCCAUGCCGCGUGCAGGAAGAAGCAUCUAUGGUGUGUAAACUGCUUUUGUACAGGAAGAAACACUCCCUCGUGAGGGAGCUUGACGGUACUGUAAGAAUAAGGACCGGCUAACUCCGUGCCAGCAGCCGCGGUAAUACGGAGGGUCCGAGCGUUAUCCGGAAUCAUUGGGUUUAAAGGGUCCGUAGGCGGUUUAAUAAGUCAGUGGUGAAAUCUGGUCGCUCAACGAUCAAACGGCCAUUGAUACUGUUAGACUUGAAUUAUAAGGAAGUAACUAGAAUAUGUAGUGUAGCGGUGAAAUGCUUAGAUAUUACAUGGAAUACCAAUUGCGAAGGCAGGUUACUACUUAUGGAUUGACGCUGAUGGACGAAAGCGUGGGGAGCGAACAGGAUUAGAUACCCUGGUAGUCCACGCCGUAAACGAUGGAUACUAGCUGUUCGGAGCAAUCUGAGUGGNGUAGACGAAGAGAGUAAGUAAGUACCACCGUACGGGAGGUACGGUUAACGGUCGAAGAAGUUAGUAAACGUUAACGAAAGGAAAGUUAGUUACGGCGNGAGACGAGCCGACGGACGACGACGAGGGAGGGAGGAG